UCCAGACAUAACAUUACUUUUAAAUAUGAGAUGACAAACUAAAAGUUUUAAAAAGUCCUAAAUAACUGAAAUGGACAAACAUACACAGAUUUAUUCAGAAUGUCAUACCGAUGAAGAUCACCUAAAAAUAUUUGGAAAAAUCAGAACUAUGGAUUUCAAUAUGGGACAAUACCCCUAAUGCGCCUUGAAAUGAGGAACACAAAAGUCACGUGUAAACAAAAAAUCUCUGUGUAGUGAUAUUUGACACAUUUCUAUGAUAAACAAAUGACUGAGCUGAACCAUUAGUGUUAAUUUAGAAAGUAAGGGAACACAGAAUAAAUGCGUAAAAACCAUGGAGCUAUGAAAUGUGUUCAAAGUAUUAAAAUUUCAAAGAACUUAUUGUGUUAAAAUUGAGAUUUUUUACCAUGAGGAGCCACAUCGCAAAAGGAUACUCGGGGUUUGCUAAAUUACGGAAAAAUGAAUCACACUUCGUACCCCGAAAAUUUAACCACAUAUGUAAAAAUGUCUCAGCUUCGAAACAAGCCAUCAUACAUAUACAAGUUUACGAUAUGGGCUGAGCAACAGAAGAAAACGUUACCAUUAUGGCCUAUGGAGAAACAAUUGCGCAUAUUGCCCCAAUUAUGUGUUUUAACCUUAUUUAAAAGAUUUUCAGUGUGUUUCAAAGCUUUUCAAUGCAUUCUACGUCUAUUGGAACAAGUAUUUUACAUAAUAAAAGGAAAUAACUCUCAAUUGUUCAAGAACAAUUGACAUUUUAUUUUUUUUA